rnacentral:rRNA from 1 species
GACGGGGGGGGCAAGCGUUGUUCGGAAUUACUGGGCGUAAAGGGCUCGUAGGCGGCCAACUAAGUCGGAUGUGAAAUCCCCAGGCUCAACUUGGGAACUGCAUCCGAUACUGGAUGGCUUGAAUUCGGGAGAGGGAUGCAGAAUUCCAGGUGUAGCGGUGAAAUGCGUAGAUAUCUGGAGGAAUACCGGUGGCGAAGGCGGCAUCCUGGACCGACAUUGACGCUGAGGAGCGAAAGCUAGGGGAGCAAACGGG